GUUUCAUGUGAAUUUCAAUGGAAAAAUGAAAUUUGGGAAAAAAUAUUCAAAAGAAUGCUUCCUGUACGUACCUAAUAAACACAGGCCUACAGCAAAGCUUAAAUGGCAUGAGAGUUCAAAAGAGACUCCGACUAGUACAGAGAUCCAAGCUAUCAAGGAAGAGGUUGCAGUUGAGAUGGGCUCUGCACUGGCCGAGAUGGGCUCUGCACUGGCCGGGA